rnacentral:misc_RNA from 1 species
CGCACCUUGCGCCCUCUGGUAUUCCGGAGGGCAUGCCUGUUUGAGUGUCUUGAUAUCAUCAAUCCCUCGGGCUCGCGCCCGCUGCGGGUUGGAAUUGGGGGUCUGCUGCCGCGAGGCGGCUCCCCUUAAAAUCAUCGGUUUGGCCCGCAACAUGCGGCUAGCACCUUUGGCGUUGUAUUCUCCUCGCCUUUGAUCGGUCUUGCCCGCUUCCGCGCCUCACCUCGACUUGCCCUUUGGGUGGCGGUCAAUUCUUGACAAUCUGGCCUCAAAUCAGGUAGGACUACCCGCUGAACUUAA